UGAAAAUGGAUGCUUAUUGACUCUUC
rnacentral:piRNA from 1 species